AAUAGAUACCCGGGUAGUCCACGCCGUAAACGAUGAGUGCUAAGUGUUAGGGGGUUUCCGCCCCUUAGUGCUGCAGCUAACGCAUUAAGCACUCCGCCUGGGGAGUACGGUCGCAAGACUGAAACUCAAAGGAAUUGACGGGGGCCCGCACAAGCGGUGGAGCAUGUGGUUUAAUUCGAAGCAACGCGAAGAACCUUACCAGGUCUUGACAUCCCAUUGACCGCUAUGGAGACAUAGCUUUCCCUUCGGGGACAGUGGUGACAGGUGGUGCAUGGUUGUCGUCAGCUCGUGUCGUGAGAUGUUGGGUUAAGUCCCGCAACGAGCGCAACCCUUGUUCUUAGUUGCCAUCAUUUAGUUGGGCACUCUAAGGAGACUGCCGGUGACAAACCGGAGGAAGGUGGGGAUGACGUCAAAUCAUCAUGCCCCUUAUGACCUGGGCUACACACGUGCUACAAUGGACGGUACAAACGGUUGCCAACCCGCGAGGGGGAGCUAAUCCGAUAAAACCGUUCUCAGUUCGGAUUGUGGCUGCAACUCGCCUAC
rnacentral:rRNA from 1 species